rnacentral:rRNA from 1 species
UUAGGAAUAUUCGUCAAUGGGGGAAACCCUGAACGAGCAAUGCCGCGUGAGCGAUGAAGGCCCUAUGGGUCGUAAAGCUCUGUUGUGAAGGAAGAACAUAUUUGAUAGGGAAUGAUCAAAUACUGACGGUACUUCACCAGAAAGCCCCGGCUAACUACGUGCCAGCAGCCGCGGUAAUACGUAGGGGGCGAGCGUUAUCCGGAUUUAUUGGGCGUAAAGCGUGCGUAGGCGGUUUAUUAAGUAUAAGAUUAAAGCCCGAGGCUCAACCUCGGAUCGUCUUAUAAACUGGUAGACUUGAGUGUGGUAGAGGCAAGUGGAAUUUCUAGUGUAGCGGUUAAAUGCGUAGAUAUUAGAAGGAACACCAGUGGCGAAGGCGGCUUGCUGGGCCAUUACUGACGCUGAUGCACGAAAGCGUGGGGAGCAAAUAGG